AUGAGUUCCUUUUUGCAUAGAAGGUCUGGAAUCUUUCCUGGAGCAGAUCUGAUGUUCUCUCACUUCUGCAUUUCAGUGAGCCCCUUUGGUCUGAAGCUUCCUCCUACCAGGUUGCUUCAUUUCUCUGCGUCAGAGCACGUGCAUGUGGAAAUGGAGAUCAAAGAGCAUUGUUAAUUGACAGAAGAGGUGUUACAGAGAUUGUCAGUUACCUUUUGCUGCUGAUACCCAUCACCUCUAAUAGAAAUGUAAGAACCCAGAACUGGAAAGGACCAUCUGGAACCAUCUGGAAGCUGUUCCUAGCACUGUGGGCUACUAUAAAUUAGAUAUUUAAUCACAAACAGUGCAUAGAAAAUCUUCUCCACAUGCCAUAGGCCAUAAAACAGUUUGCAUGUAACACAAUUAAGAAAGAUGAUGAUUAAUAAUGAACAUCUAGAACUCUAAUGUGCCAUAAAAAGAACACAGCAUCAAGCACCACCAGCUUCUGAGAACAGGAGAUUAUAAUUUUGGGUUAUAAUGAUUUUAAGAGAUAAAGUGUGGAUUUUGCAGUAAGAAGGCAAAAACAACAACAACAACAAAACAGCUUCUGUUACUGUGACCCGUGAGAUUUCUUCAUUACCUCAAACCUUGCAAUCCACUUAGCUUGGACUAUGUGAUGCAGAUUCGCCUCCCACUCACUUGCUGGAGAGGAGUUCAUGAUGGAAGUGUAUGUUCAUCUCAUUUUCAUUUUCCCCCAUUGAUAAUACCACAUUCUAAUCUGAGCAACAUACUCUGAGAUUCUAACACUCAGUUGCGAGUACUGCUGACUUACAUGCAAUUGAUUAGCUAGCUCUAUAACAAUGUAUACAGACCUCUGUGAAUAGGUCUCCUGUAAAAUGGCAUGCUAGUAUUUAAUUAUAUCAUCUGAAACAAACCGUUAACAAAUUGCUCUGAAGCCACAAUGUUUUAAUUCAAGGAAUCGUUCCUUGUGAAUACAUUUUGACAGACACCAUGUAUCUCCUGUGCAGGACAAUUCAGUGUUAUGACAGUUGCUGAGAACAUUUUUACAGGAAAUGUAUCUUGAUUUUCAGUGUUACUAUGGUUUACUGAAUACCUACUAGGUGAAGAAUAGACCAUUUUUUUUCCCUUCUCCUCUAACUUUACAAAUAGCAAAUGCUAUGUAGUUUGAUCUUGUGAUGCUUUCCAGAGAGAUAUCUUUCUGUGGGCAUAAAGUCUCUGAAGAUCUACAGCAUCUAAUCCCAUAGGUCAUUUGACCUCUGGUGAUAAGCAUCCACCCAGGGCAAUGGUGUGGUCAGUGGAGAAUAUGAAGGCAGGGCAAGAGAAGGUGCCUUCAGUUUAGCAUGUCCAGCCUACACCCCCUACUCACCAGCUGUAGGUGACUUUCACCUACAUACAUCCACUGACUUUCACCUACGUACAUCCACUGCUCUUCAGCCGUUGGGUAGGUUUGAAAAAACUACAGAUGUCUAUGCGGAAGUGCAGCUUCUGGCUAAUUCUCAUGGUUUGAUUCUGUGUUACAAAGAUUUAGGGGCAUCUUUGCAGUGCACUGGUCUGCUGCCAAUGGCCUUGUAAGGAAAACAAGCAUAAUUUGAGGUUAUAUUAAAG
rnacentral:lncRNA from 1 species